rnacentral:rRNA from 1 species
AACGAACGCUGGCGGCAUGCCUAACACAUGCAAGUCGAACGAGACCUUCAGGUCUAGUGGCGCACGGGUGCGUAACGCGUGGGAACCUGCACUUAGGUUCGGAAUAACUCCACGAAAGGGGUGAUAAUACCGGAUCAUGUCUUCGACCCAAGGAUUUAUCGCCUUUGGUUGGGCCAGAGUUGGAUACGCUCGUUGGUAGGGUAAUAGCCUACCACGGCGUCGAUCCAUAGCUGGGCUGAGAGGAUGAUCAGCGACACUGGGACUGAGACACGGCCCAGACUCCUACGCGAGGGAGCAGUGGGGAAUAGUGGACAACGGGCGAAAGCCUGAACGAGCAAGGCCGCGUGAGUGAUGAAGGCCGGAGGGUAGUAAAGCGCUUGUACCCGGGAUGAUAAUGACAGUACCGGGAGAAUAAGCCCCGGCUAACUCCGUG